rnacentral:rRNA from 1 species
UUAAACUGAAGAGUUUGAUCAUGGCUCAGAUUGAACGCUGGCGGCAGGCUUAACACAUGCAAGUCGAGCGGUAGCACA